CCCACAUUUGCCAUCUGCUUCGUUGACACCUGUUGUCUUUUUAUGGAUGCUGGUUACCUCAGCCAACAGCUAAAUCCCGUUUCAACCAGACAUCUCAUCAAAAUGCAUGUAAAGCUGGGUACUGUAACACUGAUGAUGUGUAUCUGUCUGCCAGUUAUAAAAAGGGCACUUCAGUUCAAUUUCCGCUACAAAUCUGAUCUAAAAGAUCUGUGUAGAAUUGAGGAAGCUGACCGCUGCUUUGUACGUAUUACCAUAAUUAAUUAGAAAUACUACUCUAAAAUUCGCACUUAUGUCAUAACAUCAAUUUUUUUUUCUGUUGAAUGAGUCAAAACUUCAUUAAUGCUGUGUAUGGAUCUGUGAUUAGGCUCACAGCUGCUGAACAGGAUUAUUCCUCCUCUACUCCAGCUCCUGUCCAUUUCUUCCCAGUCAAGCUAUCUAAUCUUAUUACUUCACUAAUUAACUGCAGCCGGUGGUAUUUUUAGUAUCUAGGUCAGCCCGGCGUCCCCAUUACCUAUGUCGACUGGCUGGAUUUGUGUGGUUAUAGACUCGUAAGAAAUAAUCUUUGACCUUUUGAUAUAAAUCCUUUGCUCCUGUCUAUUGCUGGCUGAUACAUCUCAUUAUAGAUUCAACUUAUUGUCAGUUGAUAAAAGCAUUUAAAACAAAACAAUCCUCUAGUACACAGGAAGUGAUGUGUUUGGCCACUCUGAUUGACAAGUGAUCUUUAGGGGGAUGCUGGGAAAGAACACCACAGCAAUUAGCAACAAAGGUGUUUCCACAAAGAAGUGACCUUCAAGAGGACACAUCUUUUCAGACAGCUAAAAGGCAGUCUUAAGACUGAUGUGAAGCGACAGGAAGGAUCACCACUGACCUGCCCACACAGGCAAACAUCUAGUCCAAGAACUUUCCUCUAGAGAAAUUGUACCAGUCCAUUAAAAUCAAGACAAAAUGGAAAAGGGACAACUUUAUCUUUUGUCUACUAACAAACUACAAUCUAUUCAGCAAGUGAAUGCUUGUGCAUUUUUUUAUAUUUAGUAGAUUUCAUUGCCUUUAUUUGUUGACAUCCUGUCCUUAAAAUAAAUUUAUUGAUGGACAUAA